GUGAAUGUGCGCGGGUGCGGCGGCGAGGGCGCCCGGCCUGCGGGCCCGGCUGGGGCUACGCUCGCCCCGCGUCCCCUCGAGCUUUGCCCGCCCUGAGCUCCGCUGCUCCCGGCGGCCAGAACGCAGGGGUAGAGCAGUCUCCUCCGAGGCCCGGGGGACGGGCGGCCCAGUUCGUCCCGGGGCCGCGCGAGGCACAGGCGCCGCGCGGAGCCGCCCGCAGGCUUCCCCGCGCCCGGAGCCGCCGCUCUAACAACCUCGCGCUUUGCUCUCCCAGGGCGCCUCUGCGGCCACCUCGUAGCGGGUUCGGGGCCGGCCCGCCUGCGCCUGCGGGAGCCCGGCCCGACCCGGGGACCAGAGAGUUUGUCACCGACGUGUGCGGGGCUGCGUGGGCUGAGCUCUACGCGCAGGUUGAAGACUACAGGCACAAGCGGUGGAAGCUGGAAUUUUCCAAUGCUGGUCAUCUAUUGAACAACUAUGUGAGAAGGCCAUAAUUGCUCAAGGGGAGGAGAGUAGGGAAGGGAGAGAGGAACCGCAUGUAUGUGCGCUGUAAAUAAAGGACGUGAGCUCAGGGCUGGCCAAGGGGGACUGGGAUUGGGAUCUGGAGAUGCUGUGGUUCUCAGACCCAGGUGAAGCCCAACUGCAGGGCUCUAACUCAAAACUGAGAGCGAGACCUGAGCUGAGAUUGAGAGUCAGAUGCUUAACCGACUGAGUCACCCGGGCGCCCCACAAGUGCCUUUAUGAGAAGGAGGCAGAAGGAGAGUCUGUGCUCAAGGGAGGAGGCCAUGAGAAGACACCAGAAAGAUCUGAUUUUGGCCUUGAAGAUUAUGGAACAAUACAGCUGCAGGCUAGGGGUAGGUGGCAGCCACCAGAAGUUCUGGAAGACUCCAGAAAUACACUCUCCCCCACCCCCCAGCCCCACCUUGAGAGUGUGCAUUUAAUUUGACCCCGGGAAUCUGAUUUCUGACCUCCAAAAUUGUGAGAGAACAAAUUUCUGUUGUUUUAAGCCACCACGUUUGUACUAAU